rnacentral:rRNA from 1 species
AUGAUGGCAACAUCAUCAGCCGGCAAAGGAUGGAAGCACAGCGGCGCUCUCUCACCUCGUUCUGCGCAAGUUCAGAUGGAGGAGUCACUGGGAAAGUUGGACAUCUCCGAGGAGGAGACGACGCCUCUCGUGAUUGACGACGACGCACCUACGAAGUGGCUGCUGGCGGGGAAGGUUAUGUACCGCAAUCUUCUUCACAUCCAAACAACAUGCAACGCCCUCCGUCCAGCAUGGGGCAACCCUAGGGGCUUGAAUUUUCGCCCACUGGGAGAGAACUUGUUUGCGGCCGACUUUGAAUUGAAGCGAGCCCGAGAUCGUGUUUGGGAAGGGGCACUUUGGCACAUUAGUAAACAUGUGGUGAUCUUGGAGGAUUUCGAAGCACACAUGAAGCCAUCAGAACUCAAGUUCGACAGGCUGCCAGUCUGGGUGAGGGUAGUUAAUCUAUUGUACAAUCUGAGGAACAACACAUGGGGUUUGGCAAUAGCCCAAUAG